UGGUCCCUUCUGACCUUAAAGUCUAUGACUCUACAGAGUUAACUGUUUGCUGAGCAUGGGAAUUAGAGGAUGUGUUAGGGAACAUUGCACAGAGCUGAGUAGCAAUUGGAGAAGCAGUGAUCAGCAGUCCUCUUUUUGGAAUAACCUAUGAGAUAGACUUCACUUUUUUGUGCAUACAGCUCUCUUUGCACAGUCUGCUUCCCCGUGGCUGGGGCCCAGCUCAAGGAGUACAGCUUUUUUGUGGCUCUGAGCCAAGUUGGCUGCUGGAAGCUGGAGAUACAGUAUGAAAGAGAGAACGUCAGUAGACAUGGACUGAAAGAUUGUGGGGGAGAAAAAAUAAGGAUGGAAUGGAAUGCUGGGGGGAGAGAAAAAUCUAGUUAUGUUAGUAUUUGGGGACUGCAGCAAUAAGAACUCAGAAGCUGUCAGUCACCGCUCCUGCAGGACGAUGACAACUCCUCCCAGGGCUAAUGGAGACAGACAGCUGCCUGUUUCUGCAGGGAAAGGGAUCAGAGCCAAGCGUACAGAUUUUCUAUUUCGACAGAAGUGCCACAGGAAUACUUCAAGACUCCUGAAUUAGGCACUGGAAGGGUUAGGUCAAGUAUUUGGCUGCUGCAUCUGGAGGAGAUGCACUAGCCUUUCAAAGGGGAGGAGAAAAGAGCACGCACUGCUUGGGUAACAGUCUCUGGCACAAAGGAGGGAGGAAGCCUUCUUCCCCAAAUAGGGCUAGCAGUGGGCUGGAGAUGUAACCAUGGGCACAAUGGCAGCUGAAAAACCUGCCGCAGGGUGCAUGCAAUUUCUUUUUUAAAGCCAUUAAAUUUUUAAAGCUUUGUUUAGGAUUUGCCAGUCUCUGCAUGGGAUUUUUCACACUAAUAUACUUGAUAUGCUGUGUCACUAGGUGUGACCAGCAUAUGUUACCAUCUGUUUCAUUAGAUAUCUAUAAGCAAUUAGUUGCUUUUCAAGCAUUUCAAAAAUAUGAAUGUAAGGAUGUGGAACAGUUAUUAAAAACAAGAUGUUUAUCUGA